AUACGGAGGGUGCGGGCGUUAAUCGGAAUUACUGGGCGUAAAGCGUGCGUAGGCGGUGAUUUAAGUCAGAUGUGAAAGCCCCGGGCUUAACCUGGGAACGGCAUUUGAAACUGAAUGACUGGAGUUGAGUAGAGGGAAGUGGAAUUUCCGGUGUAGCGGUGAAAUGCGUAGAGAUCGGAAGGAACACCAGUGGCGAAGGCGACUUCCUGGACUCAAACUGACGCUGAGGCACGAAAGCGUGGGUAGCAAACAGGAUUAGAAACCCUAGUAGUCC
rnacentral:rRNA from 1 species